AUUGAACGCUGGCGGCAGGCCUAACACAUGCAAGUCGAGCGGAUGAAGGGAGCUUGCUCCUGGAUUCAGCGGCGGACGGGUGAGUAAUUCCUAGGAAUCUGCCUGGUAGUGGGGGAUAACGUCCGGAAACGGGCGCUAAUACCGCAUACGUCCUGAGGGAGAAAGUGGGGGAUCUUCGGACCUCACGCUAUCAGAUGAGCCUAGGUCGGAUUAGCUAGUUGGUGGGGUAAAGGCCUACCAAGGCGACGAUCCGUAACUGGUCUGAGAGGAUGAUCAGUCACACUGGAACUGAGACACGGUCCAGACUCCUACGGGAGGCAGCAGUGGGGAAUAUUGGACAAUGGGCGAAAGCCUGAUCCAGCCAUGCCGCGUGUGUGAAGAAGGUCUUCGGAUUGUAAAGCACUUUAAGUUGGGAGGAAGGGCAGUAAGUUAAUACCUUGCUGUUUUGGCGUUACCAACAGAAUAAGCACCGGCUAACUUCGUG
rnacentral:rRNA from 1 species